CCCGCCGGGGCGGGAGGCCUCCGCGCGCACCUUCGGGGCUGAGGAUAGAGGGCGCAAGGACUUGGGCGCUUCAGGGCCCUGGCGAGGCCGCUAGCCCAGUGGCUUCCAAACCUGGAGGGUCGGCCUAUUUUCUUUAUUCUACAAGUGCCUCCACUGUGCAGCAAAGUGUGGAAACCACUUGGCUUGAGAGAGCUGGGUCCUCUGGAGCAGUUCAGGGUCACCACAGAAGUAGGCCGUCUCUUGGGCCUAUUAGCCCCAGCUUCGAGGUGGUGCUGCUUUAUUAGUGUUAUUAAGAUGGUGUCUCGCCCUGUCUCCAGGCUAGAGUGCAGUGGUGCAGUCUCGGCUCACUACAACUUCUACCUCCUGAGUUCAAGCGAUUCUCCUGCCUCAGCCUCCCGAGUAGCCAGGACUACAGGAACUAUCAUCUCCUGUUGUGCUGUAGGCAAACUUGAGUGACAUGGUGGAAGUCACCAGAGAGAAUAUCUGAAGCAAUUCAUUAAAAUCUUGGCAGCCAGACCCCAGCUCCCACUUUCCCUGAAAGCUCCCUUUAAUGAAGCUGAACGCUGUCCCAGCAAUUCCCUCCACAGAAGACCUACUGUCACCACCUCUGGAGGGGCAAUUCCUGGAGGAACCAAGUCAGCCAAUCGAAGGUCCUGAAUAAGCAAAAACUAAGUAAAUAAAUUACCAUCUCGAAA